rnacentral:lncRNA from 1 species
AGGGAUGGCAAUGGGCCGGAUCUGGACCGGAUCCUGCUUGGUCCAGAUCCAGAUCCGAAUUUUUUUACUUAGGUCCAGAUCCGGUCCAGAUCCAUUGGAUCCAAAAAAUUAAGAUCCAGACCCAGAUCCAUUAGAUCCAUAGGGUAUCGGGUCCAGAUCCAGAUCCAUACUUUUUACUCUUUUCAAACAUUUAUAAAUUUUAAAUUAACUAAAAAAAAUCAAAUUUUGUCUAGAGUAUCAACAAUUAUUUAAAAAUAAAUAUUAAAUCAUAACAUAUAUAAAAAUAUUAGUAUAAAAUUUCAAGUACUAAAUAAUAUAUUAGUAGAUACACACUUAUUUUAAUUGUAUAUAUAAAAAAGGAUGAAAAAUUAAUUAUCAUAUCAUUACAAUCAAUUUUAUCUCUAUCUUCAUCACAAUAUUCAGUAACAGUGGAACAAUGUGUCUUCCAUUUUUACAUUGAAAAGAAAAAAAACAAUAUUAUCAAUAUAAAUAAAAGAUAUAAUAAUAAUAAUAAUAAUAAUAAUAAUAAUAAUAAUAAUAAUAAUAAUAAUAAUAAUAAUAAUAAUAAUAAUAAUAAUAAUAAUAAUAAUAACUAACAACAACAACAACAACUAAAAUUUAAAUUAAGAUAAAAUAAAAUAUUAUUUUUAAUAGAAUUAUAUACAUUAUUUAUGAAAAUAGAUGUUUAGAUUAGUAAUAGAUCUUUAAGGUAGAGUUUGAUAAAAAUAAAAUAAAAUAUAUAUUUUUUAUAUAUAACCGGAUCCGUGGGCCGGAUCUGGGUCUCAAAACUUUUGCUCCAGAUCCAGAUCCGUAAAUCUUAAGAGUAAUCCA